rnacentral:rRNA from 1 species
GACGAACGCUGGCGGCGUGCUUAACACAUGCAAGUCGAACGGAAAGGCCCUGCUUUUGUGGGGUGCUCGAGUGGCGAACGGGUGAGUAACACGUGAGUAACCUGCCCUUGACUUUGGGAUAACUUCAGGAAACUGGGGCUAAUACCGGAUAGGAGCUCAUGCUGCAUGGUGGGGGUUGGAAAGUUUCGGCGGUUGGGGAUGGACUCGCGGCUUAUCAGCUUGUUGGUGGGGUAGUGGCUUACCAAGGCUUUGACGGGUAGCCGGCCUGAGAGGGUGACCGGCCACAUUGGGACUGAGAGAGGGCCCAGACUCCUACGGGAGGCAGCAGGGGGGAAUAUUGCACAAUGGGCGGAAGCCUGAGGCAGCAACGCCGCGUGCGGGAUGACGGCCUGCGGGGUGUAAACCGCUUUCGCCUGUGACGAAGCUGGAGUGACGGUAAUGGGUAAAUAAGCACCGGCUAACUACGUG